UGGUGUUCUGUCACUACAGACAAUGCAGUUCCACUGCUCUACAGCGCAGUGCUGGGGACUUCAUACCUCUCAAGCUGGCGUUUGGCAUGGUGAUCUCGGGAUAACGUACGGCUGCGUCAGAGCUCCCCAUUCCAGUGACGCUGCUUUUCUGUGGAGAUAGUACAAGCUGACGCCUGUGCCAGCAAUGGAGACGAGGCUUUAUGGAGCAAUCUUGGGAGUCCGAGCUUGACAAAUGUGCGCAAGAAGCUCAAGUGAUUCAGUGGAGCUGGUCGUUGUCACCCAUGUUGUGGAUGCCAUCACUUUUUUGGGCUCAGGGAGCAGAGCACCAGCGCAACCUCAGUGGCUUCAAACGGAGAGAGAGGUGGUAAAUGAGAACUGGCCAAGCAAUGCAGAGAUGGUGGUCCAGCAGCUGUGUAAUCAGGUCACAGAGCAGAUGCUGAAUGAAGCUAAAUCAGAGCUACAGAUACUGAAAGAGGAAGUGACGAAGAAAGCAAAAGAAACAGAGAAAUUUGAAGAGAAGAAUGCCUUCCAGAAACUUGCAGAUCCCCUAGAAUAUGAACUAUUGAAAGGAGGCCAGACUGGAACUCCAGAAAGUGGGUGA
ensembl:lncRNA